rnacentral:lncRNA from 1 species
CUUGAGAAUUUUUUUUUGUCUUUUAACUCUCUGUAUUUUCUAUGAAGAAAAUACUUCUACGGACCACCAGAAUUAUUUUUUUAGCUUUCUUCAAAACUUAUCUAAUGUUGGUUAUUUAAUACUUGUAGCUAAAACCUUUUAAUAUAUACUUUCCAUUCUCCUUUUAUAUCCUUUCCUUUGAGUCUUUCAUCUCUAGGACAACUUUUUUUUUCUUUUUUCUUUCUAGGGCUGCACCCUUGGCAUAUGGAGGUUCUCAGGAAAGGGGUCAAAUUAGAGCUUCUCCUGCCAGCCUAUCACAGCCAUGCAGGAUCUGAGCUGUGUCUACAACAAACACUGUGGCUUGCAACAACGCCGGAUCCUUAACCCAUUGAGCGAGGCCAUGGAUCAAACCUGCAUCCCCAUGGAUACUAGUGAGGUUCUUAACCCACUGAGCCACAACAGGAGCUCCUAGGAUAACUUUUCUUGUUACAGUUGACAUUUUCACUUUUUCUUUAUUCUCUCUUGGGAGGGAACAACAGCUAUAUAUGAAUUGCUGUUUUGAACCCUGCCUCUUUAAAUAUUUAGUGCAUGUUAUAUUACAGGAGAGACAAAACUCUGUAAAUAGAUUCUUCUCUUGCUUCCUUAGCUACUUUGCUUAUAUUUAUUUUUUUCUAGAAAAUGAAUAGUAUGGUCUUUGCCUACAAGCAUUGAUGACGAAUGGUUAUAUCAUUAUUAGUUAACUCCAUGGGGAAAAUUGUGGGGUCGAAAGUCAUGAAGGAAAAUGCAGAAGUUUUAGAUGCAAAUGUCUAAAGGAACAAAGGCUGAAGGGAGAGACCUCCCUCUCCCAUUUUGAGCACUUCCCUUAUAAAUCCAGGAUAGCUGUGUUCUAAUCAUUUGGCAACCACCCAAUAUGUAACCUGUCAAGUUGGAAAAUGCGUGACAGUGACCCAUAUGAGGAGGUGACAAAAAUUUAUGCAAAUGCUCUGGGCCAUACUUAUCAGCUGCCUUAUGUCUGUACAGUUCUCUUGGGCAUGACCUUUCUGCACACUGAGUUGUCAUUAUGCUCGGCAGCACUUAAAUCCAUAAACACUUAUCACAACAUAUUUAGAACAAACAGAAGGCAACUCUUCUCUCUGAUUUUUUAAGGAGAAUUUGUACAGCAUAACGGUUGGUGCACCGGCCUUAAGCUCACACAGACCUAACAUUAAACUUAGAUAAUACAACUAUUAAAUACAUCACUGCAGCAUUUCUGAAUAGCUCAGAAUAUUCAGUGACUGUUAACACCUUUUGUAUUUCCUUCAAGAAAUUUUCAUCAUGUGCUCCCAAUCUGUGGUGAUAAACGUAAACUCAAUUUCAAAGUUUAUCUAGAAUUAUAAAACAACUCUUCUGGGAUUCGUCCCCACCAGAUUUUCAGCACUGUUAAGUUGGGUAUUGUGGGGGAGCUCCAGACUCCCCCUCAUGUUCCUCCCUCAGUUUAUCUGAUUCACCAAGACUCACAGGACUCAGCAUGUAGUCAUACUCAUGGUUGUGAUUCACUGCUGCAAAAGAGUCCAAAGAAAAUCAACAGAGAGAAAACACAGGUAAGGUGAAAUCCAGAGAACACUGGGUGGCGGCUUCCAAGAAUCUUCUCCUACUGGAAUCACACAGAAGGCACUUAAGUCCUCCAGCAGCGUAUUGUGGCAACACAAGAGAAAAGUCAUCUACUAGGGAAGCUGGCUGAGACUAGAAGUCAAAGAUAUUUAUGCUGGGUUAGUAGGCACCUUCUAUCCAGCAAAUAACAGAUUCAGUCCCCCAGAAGAAAAGCAGGUGUUCAAUACAAAGCAUGCUGUUUGCACAAACAGUUAGGCACAGUAUACUGCUCUUAUCAUUUAGAGAAAGUUUUACAUUAGUGUAGGGAGCUGUUUUCCAGUCAGGUUCAUGGGCAACUGCAAGUGAUAGCCUUACAAGUACCAUUUGCAAGGAAAGCAAUUUCAAGCCUCUCUGUUUAUUUGCUUCUGUAUAGGUUAGUAGCAACACUGCAGCAGAGACACAUUUUGGGAAAAGAUACACUAGUAAUGAAGGCUCAUCAAGAAUAGGAAACUCAUCAUUCAAAGACAAGUUCUACCCUAAAUAGUCAUUACAAUAUUGUCUAUAAACAAUUGCUAUAAUCAUUCAGCUAUAUAUUGAAGAGUUUUAUAAAUCAAGCUUCAUAAUGGCUCGUCAUCUAAUACAUUACAACUUAGUCAUAUUUUAUUAUUCAUCAUUGGCCAAAAUCUAAUCCAGCAGGAGAAUGUGAUAGAUGCAACAUUACAUGCAUACAUGGAAGCACUAGAUAGUGAAAUACGCAAAAGCAGAAUAAAUGAAAUAAAACACCAAAAAGCAUCUCCUCCCCCAUAUAUUUCUGCAAACAUUUUUUUUCAAAUUUUCAAAAUUUUAUGACUUUUAAAAAUUAUUUUUGUAUUCUGUAGGGCUUGGUUAUUAGUAUGUCCUCAUACUUUUCUAAACCUUACUAAUACAAUUUUAUAAUUUACUAUUAUAUGCUCCGCACUUUUAGAUGAAUGAUAAAACAAUCUUGUUCUAAGAACAGGUAAAACUUUUUCAUUGCCAUAACUCCUAAAAGAACAUGGAAAAUGUCCAUAGUUCUUUUCUCCUUCCUUGUUACAAAAGUUUCCUUCGAUUAACUAGCAGACAUUUUCAGGGCAAUCAACAUUGCUAAAGAUGAUAGGGGAAAAUCUAGCAGCUGUUGUCCUUUCCACACCAUCCGUAGCAUUCAUGACACACAUAAAUAUUUUUACUGAGUAAAUAUUCAGGUUAAUGGACUCAUUUCUUUCCUGGACUCACCAUACAGAUGACAUGUCCUGAAGGUGUUUUCUUGUAUUUGUAGACCCUUCUGAUGUGGGGAAAAGAAAACACAACAACGACCAGAAGAAUCAUUGUUAACUAAAAUUGUUCAGGGCUUAAUAGUGCUCUGUGUGCUUAAUAUGGGCUCUCUGCCCUAUGUGCUUUCUGUGUACCUUAUUUAUUCUCUAGAUCAACUCUCUGAAGUAGGUGUUUAUUAUUAUAAUUAUUAUCCUCCACAUUUCAAGAAUGAAGAAACUAAGGCAAGGACAAUGUAAUUCCCCAAGUAGCCACAAGGGAGCAGAGUAGAGAUUCAGGCACUAGCACUGUAAUUAUACCAGAGGCUGGAGCUAGUAUUUAAUGUGUCCUGCCUGUGUUCUUAUGUAUGUAUUCUUUGCGUAUGUAGGGGACAAAAAUGUGUUUAUGUAUAUAUGUAAAAUAUAUAUAUGUGUGUGUGUAUGUAUAUAAUCCACAUAUAUACACACUUAAAUAUAUAACUUAAAAUAUUAAAAAUAUUUUUUUUAAUUUUAGAGUAUCAGUCACUUAAUCCAUUUUAAGUCAAAAUUUAUUUCAGUAACAUUUCAUAACUAUUUCUUUUAUACCAUUUGUCUAAAACUUUCUAAUUUCUAGUUAAGUGCUUCCACAUAUUAAAUGUCUGAAAAGAAAAGGUCCCAUCAUAAUGAUUAAAAAGAUUUCACAUGCAUUAAGUGUAAGUUUUCACCUCCAAAGUCGUAUUUACUUUAUGACUCAAAAUAAACAGUAAGAAAGUCUUUAGUGGAAAGGGUUCAAUUCUGUGCCAUGUAGACCAGGGCAAACAUCUUGGUAAAGUGCUGGGAAGUAUAUAUAUAUUUUAAGCUUUGAGAGCUAGUCUCUGUCACAAUUCUCACUGCCACUGGGGACACAUAUAUAAAUGAGGCUGUGUUCCAGUAAUAAUUUAUUUAUGGUUGCUAAAAUUUGAAUCUCUUAUAAUUUCAUAUGUAUCCAAUUUUAUUGUACUUUUGAUUGUUUCCAACCGUUAAAAACAUAAAAACCAUUCUUAGAUCUGGGACUUAACAAAUCUAGGCAUUGGUCAGAUUUUUUGCCCAAGGUCCAGAGUUUGCUGUUCCUGGUCUAGAUAAAUAAAAAUUGCUAGGGUAAUCCACGGUUAAUCCAAGAUUGCUUAACCUUGCAAAGGACAUGGGUUUUAUUUGUUUGUUUGUUUUUUGCUUUCAUUUAUUUAUAAUUUUUAUCAUAAAACAUGAAAUUAACAUUGUAAACCUCUUCAUUGUUUUCUAGUCUAACCUAUAUUUCCUUAAGAAGUGCCAAUGGAUGCAGAAAGCUCCUAACAAGCCACAAACCUGGUGAUAAUCACAGAUACUGUCCAUGUGCUAGUAACAAAUCAUAAUUUUUUUCAAAAGUAUUUUUUCUGGGACUAGAAUAACCUUGAGAGCAAUAAAAAUAUUCCCUAGGGUAAAACCAAUUUUUGAGUAGUUUCCACUUAUAUGUAAUCUUUCUCUUAUAUGAUAUUAUAUAUAGAUCUUUCAUGGAAUUAGGUAAGGUGCGACCAAAUCAAAAAUAAGCAAUACUGACAUUCUCCUCAUUUAAAAAGACAGUAACCGAUAUUCAGUGAGGUUAUAUAAUUUAUUCAAGCUCUCAAAACAAUCAACCAGCAUAGCCUGGAUGCACUCCAGUUCUUCCGAUUCCAAGAAUCUUGUCUUAUAAAAGAACUAACAUUUAAUCGACUAUUUUAAUAGACAUGGAGAACAGUUACCAAUCUUUUGAUCUCGUACUACUCUAGUUGUUUUUUAACCCAAAGCAUCACAUAUUUUGAAAGCUUCUUACACUAAAAUGCUUGUAUAAAUCAAUGGUUAAUUUUCCUGGUUUUUAAUAAUGAAAAUAUUUAGAACUUCAUAUGAUCAAAAAUCUGAGAUAAUAUAAUGCAAUCAAGAUAAUUUGAUUUCUGGAGUUCCUGUCUUGGCUCAGCAGAAACGAAAUCUGCCUAGUAUCCAUGAGGAUGCAGGUUUGAUCCCUGGCCCUGUUCAGUGAGUUUAAGGAACGGCGUUGCCGUAAACUGUGUGUAGGUUUCAGAUGAGGCUCAGAUCCCGCGUUGCUGUGGCUCUGGCGUAGGCCAGUGGUACAGCUCCGAUUCGAUCCCCUAGCCUGGGAACCUCCAUGUGCCCUGG